CAUCAAUUGGCUACAGAAAUCCUCAGCUGCAACUUAUUCUCACAUUAGAGUAAAAACAGUUGCUGCAGGAGGACUGCUCCUUUUAUCUCUACAAAUCAAGUAGGAUGUUCGUGCAAAUCCAGUCUAAUCCUGUUUCUCAAGCCUUACAGUAGGGAAUUUGGACUGAGAGUACACAAACUUUAGAACUGAAAUGCUGUUGUGAGCCUUCCUCCAAAGUCCAUGGACAGGUAUCCUUCAAACCAUCUGCUCUACCUGGAACUGGAGAGAUAGAAAACAGAAAGAAAGAAACAGAAAAACAGAAAAUGCAGAACAGAAAAUAGAUACACUGUUGAGAGGUUACAAUCCUACCCCCUGCCUCUGGCAAAGGCAUCAUUAUUUCAGAGGAAAAAGUGUACUGUGCAAAUCGCAUUGAAAAACAUCAGUUUUGUGGUGGAAUCUGGAUCAGUCAGG
rnacentral:lncRNA from 1 species